rnacentral:rRNA from 1 species
CACGCCGCGUGAGUGAUGAAGGUUUUCGGAUCGUAAAGCUCUGUUGUUAGGGAAGAACAAGUGCCGUUCAAAUAGGGCGGCACCUUGACGGUACCUAACCAGAAAGCCACGGCUAACUACGUGCCAGCAGCCGCGGUAAUACGUAGGUGGCAAGCGUUGUCCGGAAUUAUUGGGCGUAAAGGGCUCGCAGGCGGUUUCUUAAGUCUGAUGUGAAAGCCCCCGGCUCAACCGGGGAGGGUCAUUGGAAACUGGGGAACUUGAGUGCAGAAGAGGAGAGUGGAAUUCCACGUGUAGCGGUGAAAUGCGUAGAGAUGUGGAGGAACACCAGUGGCGAAGGCGACUCUCUGGUCUGUAACUGACGCUGAGGAGCGAAAGCGUGGGGAGCGAACAGGAUUAGAUACCCUGGUAGUCCACGCCGUAAACGAUGAGUGCUAAGUGUUAGGGGGUUUCCGCCCCUUAUUGCUGCAGCUAACGCAUUAAGCACUCCGCCGGGGGGAG